rnacentral:tRNA from 1 species
UCAUUGGUGGUUCAAUGGUAGAAUGCUCGCCUGCCACGCGCGCGGCUCGGGUUUGGUUCCCGGUCGAUACA